AUGGAGAAAUCAAUUAUUCUGUUGCUCUGGGUACAAUAUGUUGUUAAGAUCUCAAAAAGUUUCUGUUUUGUGAAUAAUCGAACAACAGUUGUUAUUGAAUGGGAUGAAUUUCCUAAGGGAAGAAGUCCUGGAUUUUAUUUUUUAAAAUACCAACUUGUUAAUGAUUUUGCUGAAAAAACUAUCAAAAGCAUUCUUAUAAACCCACAAGAGCUUUCAAAAGCAAUAACACUAGAAGAAAAUGAAGACUAUCACAUUAUUCUACAGUCCAUAAAAUAUGGACAAAUUUUAAGUGAAAAGUCAUUUAAAACCCGCUCAUGUUCACCAGGAUGGAUAGCAUUGAGAAAUAGCUGUUAUAAAAUUAGCAAAGAGAGUAAGCCAUGGAAUAUAGCCCAGCGACACUGUAGAUUAUCCUUAAGUUCUGCACACCUUGUGGAUAUAAAAAAUGAAGAGGAAAAAAAAUUUGUAUCUUCACUUCUCAGGUCAAAGAAUCAAAUAAUAAUAUGGACUGGUCUUAAUGAUUUGAAGGCAGUGAAUGAAGUUCUAAGAAAGAUUCCUCGAACCACAGUUCAUCUCAGACAUCUCAUAAACCUGCCUCCCAGCAUAAAGAAGGUCAUCUCACGUGGACAGAUGGAUCAUCUUUUGGCCUUAAGAAAAAUGAAAUCUUUUCUUUUCCAUUGCUACCCAAGAAUGAAACAGAUUGCUAUGUUUUACAGCAAAAUGCAUCUGGAUCAAACUAUUUCUUCACAAGAUUUUUCUGUUAUGUUCCAUUGCCGUAUAUUUGCAGAUAUGACUCACCUUCUCUGCAGGAAAACCUUUUGAUCUAUAUAAAGGAUGUUGGAACAACUGAAGUUGUAUUUGGUUGGCAUAAUUUGAAUGCUUGGAAUAAUUUGAAUAAGUGGCUAAAACUGGGAUAUAAAAUUAUCAUUAAAUAUUAUUUAGAUUAUACAGAAGAAAAAUAUUUUGAAAGCAUAUCCCCAAAUACUACGGAAAAAAGAAUUACCCAGUUGUUUCCUGGCCAUACUUACAGAUUUUUACUCUUUGCAAUAAAUGAAUGGGAGGCAAAAACUGUGUUAAGUUC
rnacentral:lncRNA from 1 species